CAUGCACCAGUGGGGUCCCUCGGCCUGGCCUGUGCCCUCUCACAAUCCAGGACCACUCGGAAGAUGUUGGAGAGCCUGUUUCAGCCCGAUCCCCGCAGACCAGGCUGAGGGACCCCACUGGUGCACG
rfam:Myotis brandtii contig192843, whole genome shotgun sequence.